AGAGUUUGAUCCUGGCUCAGAUUGAACGCUGGCGGCAUGCCUUACACAUGCAAGUCGAACGGUAACAGGGAGCUUGCUCCGCUGACGAGUGGCGAACGGGUGAGUAAUAUAUCGGAACGUACCAUUCAGUGGGGGAUAACGUAGCGAAAGUUACGCUAAUACCGCAUAUUCUGUGAGCAGGAAAGCAGGGGAUCGCAAGACCUUGCGCUGAUUGAGCGGCCGAUAUCAGAUUAGCUAGUUGGUGAGGUAAAAGCUCACCAAGGCGACGAUCUGUAGCGGGUCUGAGAGGAUGAUCCGCCACACUGGAACUGAGACACGGUCCAGACUCCUACGGGAGGCAGCAGUGGGGAAUUUUGGACAAUGGGGGCAACCCUGAUCCAGCCAUGCCGCGUGAGUGAAGAAGGCCUUCGGGUUGUAAAGCUCUUUCAGCCGGGAAGAAAACGCAUGGGUUAAUACCCUGUGUGGAUGACGGUACCGGAAUAAGAAGCACCGGCUAACUACGUGCCAGCAGCCGCGGUAAUACGUAGGGUGCGAGCGUUAAUCGGAAUUACUGGGCGUAAAGCGUGCGCAGGCGUUUUUGUAAGACAGGCGUGAAAUCCCCGGGCUUAACCUGGGAACUGCGUUUGUGACUGCAAGGCUAGAGUACGGCAGAGGGGGGUGGAAUUCCACGUGUAGCAGUGAAAUGCGUAGAGAUGUGGAGGAACACCAAUGGCGAAGGCAGCCCCCUGGGUCGAUACUGACGCUCAUGCACGAAAGCGUGGGUAGCAAACAGGAUUAGAUACCCUGGUAGUCCACGCCCUAAACGAUGUCAACUAGGUGUUGGGAGGGUAAAACCUUUUAGUACCGGAGCUAACGCGUGAAGUUGACCGCCUGGGGAGUACGGCCGCAAGGUUAAAACUCAAAGGAAUUGACGGGGACCCGCACAAGCGGUGGAUGAUGUGGAUUAAUUCGAUGCAACGCGAAAAACCUUACCUACCCUUGACAUGCCAAGAACUUUCCAGAGAUGGAUUGGUGCCCGAAAGGGAACUUGGACACAGGUGCUGCAUGGCUGUCGUCAGCUCGUGUCGUGAGAUGUUGGGUUAAGUCCCGCAACGAGCGCAACCCUUGUCGUUAAUUGCCAUCAUUUAGUUGGGCACUUUAACGAGACUGCCGGUGACAAACCGAGGAAGGUGGGGAUGACGUCAAGUCCUCAUGGCCCUUAUGGGUAGGGCUUCACACGUCAUACAAUGGUCGGUACAAAGGGUCGCCAAGCCGCGAGGUGGAGCCAAUCCCAGAAAGCCGAUCGUAGUCCGGAUCGCAGUCUGCAACUCGACUGCGUGAAGUCGGAAUCGCUAGUAAUCGUGGAUCAGCAUGUCACGGUGAAUACGUUCCCGGGUCUUGUAC
rnacentral:rRNA from 1 species